CGACAUCGAGGCGAUGAAGCUCGCCCGUCGUUCGGGACGCCGCCAACCAGCCCGAGAGGGGUUGAUAGCUUCUGCGAGGCC
rnacentral:ncRNA from 2 species